UGCAGUCGAGCGGUAACAGGGGAAGCUUGCUUCCCGCUGACGAGCGGCGGACGGGUGAGUAAUGCUUAGGAAUCUGCCCAGUAGUGGGGGAUAGCCCGGGGAAACCCGGAUUAAUACCGCAUACGUCCUACGGGAGAAAGCAGGGGAUCUUCGGACCUUGCGCUAUUGGAUGAGCCUAAGUCGGAUUAGCUAGUUGGUGGGGUAAAGGCCUACCAAGGCGACGAUCCGUAGCUGGUCUGAGAGGAUGAUCAGCCACAUCGGGACUGAGACACGGCCCGAACUCCUACGGGAGGCAGCAGUGGGGAAUAUUGGACAAUGGGGGCAACCCUGAUCCAGCCAUGCCGCGUGUGUGAAGAAGGCUUUCGGGUUGUAAAGCACUUUCAGUAGGGAGGAAAACCUUAUGGUUAAUACCCAUGAGGCUUGACGUUACCUACAGAAGAAGCACCGGCUAACUCCGUGCCAGCAGCCGCGGUAAUACGGAGGGUGCAAGCGUUAAUCGGAAUUACUGGGCGUAAAGCGCGCGUAGGUGGUUUGGUAAGCGAGAUGUGAAAGCCCCGGGCUUAACCUGGGAACGGCAUUUCGAACUGUCAGACUAUAGUGUGGUAGAGGGUAGUGGAAUUUCCUGUGUAGCGGUGAAAUGCGUAGAUAUAGGAAGGAACACCGGUGGCGAAGGCGGCUACCUGUGACCUGCACUGACACUGAUGUGCGAAAGCGUGGGGAGCAAACAGGAUUAGAUACCCUGGUAGUCCACGCCGUAUACGAUGUCAACUAGCCGUUGGGACUCUUGAAGUCUUAGUGGCGCAGCUA
rnacentral:rRNA from 2 species